GGACUACCGGGGUAUCUAAUCCUGUUUGCUCCCCACGCUUUCGCGCCUCAGCGUCAGUCAAGGACCAGGUCGCCGCCUUCGCCACCGGUGUUCUUCCCAAUAUCUACGAAUUUCACCUCUACACUGGGAAUUCCACGACCCUCUUCCCCACUCCAGCCCAAACGUCUCGAACGCAGCCCCCGGGUUGAGCCCAGGAAUUUCACGCCCGACUGUCCAGGCCGCCUACGCGCCCUUUACGCCCAGUCAUUCCGAGCAACGCUAGCCCCCUUCGUAUUACCGCGGCUGCUGGCAC
rnacentral:rRNA from 1 species